rnacentral:lncRNA from 10 species
UGUUAAAUUCAAACACCCUGGGUUUGGUUUUUGCUGGUGGGGGUGGAGUGGAGUUCCUGGAGAAGCAAAGCAGUCCUAAAUCACCGAGUUGAUGGGUCUUUUGGGUGUUCCCACCAGUCCUUACUGAUCUCUACAAAAUCCCAAGUUACCAAGCUCUUCAACAAAUAGAAGACAGCUGUCAAACACCAUGGGCUACAGAUACAACGGGCAUAUUCAGCCAUCUUUCAGAAGAGUGAUAACAAAUGACUUAAUUUGGAAGAUUCACUCAAGAUCCAAUUUGAUUCAUCGCGGACAUGCCUGCACCUAAGUUCCUGGGGCCAAAGUGAGGAGGCAGCAGUUCUCCACCCAAUCAGACCAUCAUCCUCUUUUUGUAACUAGUAUCUUUAACACUCCCCUUACUAUCCUGAAAGGUAAUUUGUGGAUAAUAUUACCUACCAAUACAAAUUUCAAAA